UACGGAGGGUGCAAGCGUUGUCCGGAAUUACUGGGCGUAAAGGGCUCGUAGGCGGUGUGGUAAGUUGGGCGUGAAAUCCCUCGGCCCAACCGAGGAACUGCGCCCGAGACUGCUUCUCUUGAGUCCCGGAGAGGAAGAUGGAAUUCCCGGUGUAGCGGUGAAAUGUGUAGAGAUCGGGAGGAACACCGGUGGCGAAGGCGGUCUUCUGGACGGUGACUGACGCUGAGGCGCGAAAGCGUGGGGAGCAAACGGG
rnacentral:rRNA from 1 species